UACGGGGGGGGUAAGCGUUGUUCGGAAUUACUGGGCGUAAAGGGCUCGUAGGCGGCCAACUAAGUCAGACGUGAAAUCCCUCAGCUUAACUGGGGAACUGCGUCUGAUACUGGAUGGCUUGGAUUUGGGAGAGGGAUGCGGAAUUCCAGGUGUAGCGGUGAAAUGCGUAGAUAUCUGGAGGAACACCUGCGGCGAAGGCGGGUUGCUGGGCCGACACUGACGCUGAUGCGCGAAAGCCAGGGGAGCGAACGGG
rnacentral:rRNA from 1 species